UUACUCAUGGUUCUCUUCAUAUCGUAUAAAUCUUUCGCCUUUUACUAAAGAUUUCCGUGGGGAGGACCAUCAUGAGUUUAACUUAAUUUUUUGUCGCCCCGCCUUGCGGUGGGGCA